UACGUAGGGCGCAAGCGUUGUCCGGAAUUAUUGGGCGUAAAGAGCUCGUAGGCGGCUUGUCGCGUCUGCUGUGAAAACCUAAGGCUCAACCUUGGGCUUGCAGUGGGUACGGGCAGACUAGAGUGCGGUAGGGGUGACUGGAAUUCCUGGUGUAGCGGUGGAAUGCGCAGAUAUCAGGAGGAACACCGGUGGCGAAGGCGGGUCUCUGGGCCGAUACUGACGCUGAGGAGCGAAAGCGUGGGGAGCGAACAGG
rnacentral:rRNA from 1 species